AAGCCUGUGAUGAUCAGCUUAUUGCCUACAUUGCUUGAUAUGUUUUCGUGAUAAGACAUUGCUCUUCUGAGGCCUU